rnacentral:misc_RNA from 1 species
UGAACUGUCUAUAGUUUACAUACAAGUCAUUGCUCAUUUCAAAUUUAGAUCGUUUUGAAUUCGUUUAUGUUUAAAAUAAAAUAAGCCAUAGAGUAUCGCAUAUACCGGUCUGUCCCUUAUUCAUCUAAGAAAAAAACUCCCUAAUAACUAAGGCAAUCUUUAAAUUGUUUUAAAAAAUGCCGCCCCACGGUUCUGGAAAAUGUUGCGGCGACUCCAGUCACCAGCAUGAAGAGCCUGAGAAAGGGAUUCAGUAUAGUUUAUAUACCAAAAUAAAUAUGAGCGAUUUGGAAUGUUUAAAUGAGUCAGUGGAAGGAUCCGGAAAGACUGUUUUUAAACCUUGGGAAGAAAGGUUGGAGCGGACUAGGUUUGUUGAGUCAGAUGUAGAUGAAGAACUCCUGUUCAACAUUCCAUUCACAGGCAACAUUAAGCUGAAGGGAAUAAUUGUGAUUGGAGAAAACACAGAUUCAUAUCCUUCAAAAAUGAGACUAUUUAAAAACAGACCAUUUAUGACUUUUGAUGACACAUCAGCUGCACCAGACCAAGAGUUUGAGUUACAAAAAGACACAGAGGGAGAAUUAGAAUAUGCCACCAAGGUAACUAUCUUCAGCAAUGUGAACCACUUGUCUAUUCAUUUUCCUGGAAACUUUGGAGAUGAACACACAAAAAUAAAUUAUAUUGGACUGAAGGGGGAAUUUUCAGAAGCCCAUAGGCAUGGAGUGACUAUUUGCAAUUAUGAGUUGAGACCUAAUGUUGCUGAUCAUGCUAAAACUAUGGAUAAUGUUAGUAGGGAAAUUUCUUAAGUUAUGAUAGCUUGCCCGAAAGUGUUUUACAAGAUAUUAAUAACAAUUUGCAUUAUUUUUUUGUAUAUUUAAGCAGCAGGUUGAAAAUACAGGUACAGAGCAUUUAAGAACUACUAAAUGUGACCUUUUUAAGGCUGCCAAUCAAGGUUGCAGGAAAUCAUGUUUGUUUUUGAAUAAAAAUGUUUCUUUUUAUUGAA